rnacentral:lncRNA from 1 species
AUGGACUUCUUAGAUGGAAAUGUUAUAAAAUACUCUAGGAAUUGCACUAUCAGCUUAGUACAAGGUCUGCAUUAAAAACCUAAGUAGUUAGAAGCCAGGGGCCAUGACCAGAAUCUAAUCCCAGAACAGUCAAAUGAAUAGAGUUGGGUCAUUUAACUUUGAGAACUACGCUGUCCACUUUAAAACAAAUAGAAUGAUACCAGGUGACUGAAAAGGGUAUCUGGGGGGUGCACAAUCAUCGAUGUAGCUGAAGCCUCAGCAGGGACAGAGAGUCCACAUGACUAAGCUGAGUUCAAAGAUGGAUUCUAAACACUCUUCCUGAUUCAGCUGAACAGCCCUGGGUGUGGGCAUUGUUUAACUGGAAAUUGAGUUGAAAGCACAUACGACCUUAAAUUCAUGGUGCCCUUUAAGGAUUCUCCUGUAAUCCAAAUUCUGUGAUUCUAGAAUACUCAUUGAGAAAGAUGAUGUUCACCUACUGCAAGGAGUAGAGAUCGCACUCCAAGGCUAUGCUGAAGAGCAAUUAAGAGAGCAAAAAAAUACAGACAACAAAGCCCCCACAUCUUGGCAUUUUUAAAGAAUAGUUAACAGAGACAAAGAUGGAGAAAUAGGAGGUCCCCAGCCAUCAUCCCCCUACAGAAGCAACAAUUUUCCAGCCACCCGUGGACAAAAGUGCCUUUGUGGGAGCCUUGGGAUCCAGCACUGUUCACAAUAGCAAAGACUUGGAACCAACCCAA